AUUGAACGCUGGCGGCAGGCCUAACACAUGCAAGUCGGGCGAGCGGCGGACGGGUGAGUAAUGUAUGGGGAUCUGCCUGAUGGAGGGGGAUCACUACUGGAAACGGUAGCUAAUACCGCAUACCAUCAGCUGAACCCAUAUGGGAUUAGCUAGUAGGGGGGGUAAAGGCUCACCUAGGCGACGAUCUCUAGCUGGUCUGAGAGGAUGAACAGCCACAGUGGGACAGAGACACGGACCAGACUCCUACGGGAGGGAGCAGUGGGAAAGAUUGCAAAGUGCGCGCAAGCCUGAUGCAGCCGUGCCGCGUGUAUGGAGAAGGCCUUAGGGUUGUAAAGUUCUUUCAGCGGGGAGGUGUUACCCGCAGAAGAAGCACCGGCAAACUCCGUGACAGCCGCCGCUAAUAC
rnacentral:rRNA from 1 species